rnacentral:rRNA from 1 species
GUACACUCCUACGGGAGGCAGCAGUGGGGAAUAUUGGACAAUGGGCGCAAGCCUGAUCCAGCCAUGCCGCGUGAGUGAUGAAGGCCCUAGGGUUGUAAAGCUCUUUCACCGGUGAAGAUAAUGACGGUAACCGGAGAAGAAGCCCCGGCUAACUUCGUGCCAGCAGCCGCGGUAAUACGAAGGGGGCUAGCGUUGUUCGGAUUUACUGGGCGUAAAGCGCACGUAGGCGGACUAUUAAGUCAGGGGUGAAAUCCCGGGGCUCAACCCCGGAACUGCCUUUGAUACUGGUAGUCUUGAGUUCGAGAGAGGUGAGUGGAAUUCCGAGUGUAGAGGUGAAAUGCGUAGAUAUUCGGAGGAACACCAGUGGCGAAGGCGGCUCACUGGCUCGAUACUGACGCUGAGGUGCGAAAGCGUGGGGAGCAAACAGGAUUAGAUACCCCGAUAGUCCCA